CAGAAGGUAGCUUAAAAAAAGCAUCCAGCUUACAAUUGGAAGACGCCACAACACUGGCCUUUUUGA
rnacentral:tRNA from 1 species